rnacentral:rRNA from 1 species
UACAGAGGGGGCCAGCGUUAUUCGGAAUUAUUGGGCGUAAAGGGCGCGUAGGCGGCCAUGCGUGUCUUCCGUGAAAUCCCUCGGCUCAACCGAGGACGUGCGGAAGAAACUGCAAGGCUCGAGUCCGGAAGAGGGGGGCGGAAUUCCCAGUGUAGCGGUGAAAUGCGUAGAUAUUGGGAGGAACACCAGUGGCGAAGGCGGUCCCCUGGGCCGGAACUGACGCUGAUGCGCGAAAGCGUGGGUAGCAAACGGG